UCUUUGCCAUUAUCAUCAGUCUAGUAAGUACCAAAUUGGUACCAAACACUUAAACACCACAAGGUUAUAUAUAUAAAUUUAUACACAACCAAAGUAUCAAAACAUGUUCAUUAAUUUGCAAAGUAAACAUCCUAUAUACAUGUCACAAGUAACCAACUUCAAAACAUCUAAAGUCUACCGAAUCGAGUAACAAUAGGUAUGAGCUUCUCGCUGAUCCGAUCGACACGUUCCGAACAUUCAAACUCUACAAAAAAGUAGUAACAUGAGUAAGUAUAUAAAAUACUUAAUAAGCUCAUACAGUAUAAACAUUCACUUACCUCAAUUUCUUAUGACAUACAAAAUCACUAUGAAAUACAAAUACACCUAUCAAGACUGAAACCACAUCAUUAAUAUAUAAGACUUUGAGUUCACUCACAUGAAUAACCAUAAUCAUUCUCAUUUUCAAUCAAACCAAGUUAGAUCUCAUAAUCAAAACAUAUUCAUCACUUAGCCUGUAACACUCCUAACCCAUAUCCGUCACCAGACUAGGGUUACGAGGGAUUAACAGACAUAACACAAUUGAAUACAAUUAAAACAAAUACAUAAUUCACAAAGUGAUUUAUAGAAAUAAAUAUAUAAUUUACUUCAUAAAAUACAUCAAUCAAAAAUGCAAAGUCAAACAUCAUUUUAAUCUCAAAUAUUAUAAACACAAAACCAAAUUUUAUUUAUCAAUUUUAUUUAUAAUUACCAAAACCGUAUAUAUAUAAUUUGAAAAUUAUUAUACCUAAAUCAAUUUACAAAAGUCUUUCAUUUUAUUACCAUGUAACAACGCAUUUCAUAGCACAUUUUAAACAUAUAUACUAUUAUAUAAAUUCAACUUCUAAUCCUAUGAGUUUAGCUUCCCAAUAGUAUAACCCUGAUCAAACUCAAUUCCAACAAUUAAGACUUUUAUAAAAUUGAACAUUCAUUUAAUCUACUUAUAACAUGCAAGUAAAAUAUUUCUAAAAUUUCGCAUAAAUACUUCCAUUUAUAAGUAUAUUAUAUAUAUACCUAUAUACAUAAUCAUAUAAAUCUAACUCUAACAAACCAAAAUAUGACUAAUUUAUCAUUCAAACCAAAACCAAAUAAAACAACUAAUUCAGCCACAUUUACAAGGCUUUAAUACAGAUUUACUAGCAAAAUAACAAUUUCAUCUAAUCUUAGACUAUACAUGCCAUAGACUCAAAAGGAACUUCAAAUUAAAAUACCAUUAUCUAUCGAUAGUGUAAUAAGAUUUUCUGACCAUCCCCGAUCUCGAACCACUUCAAAAAAAAUCAAUAAGACAAGGAAAAUAAACAGAAACAAACAUAAACAGUAAGCCAUUGAUAGCUUAGUAAGUUUUUAACAAUUAAAUUAAAAAAUUAUAACAUUUUACAAGCCAAUUUGUUUAUAUAUAUAUUUAUAAAUUCCUUGAAUGCUUAUAACCAAAUAUUUAUGUUCAUCAAGAACAUAUAACCGAAUGUAUAUAUGUUUCCCACAAAUAUAUUUAAACUAAUUUAUGUUCACAUCAACGCAUAUGUCCAAAUGCAUAAAUAAACUUAUCAAACUCUUAUAUUCAAUGCAUAUACUCAUUAAAGGUAUAUAUAUAUAUAAAAUCGAAAACAUAUGUACCUAUCAAAUACUUUUAGCCGUAUGCAUAUAAGCAACAAAAUAUAGAACCAAAUACUCACAACCACAUUUUUAUAAUUUAUUACAAUUUAUCAAUGUGAUUAUCUAAUUCUAAUUAAGACAUAAAUAUCACUUAUUCAAAAUGAUUCAUCAUCAUAUAGUCUGUUAAGCUUGAAGCUUGAACUAGAACACUGGCAUUAAGCCUGCUAGACAUUAAGUCUGUAAAGUUCAUCGGCAUUAAGCCUGCUAGACAUUAAGUCUGUAAAGUUCAUCGGCAUUAAGCCUGCUAGGCACAGGACCUGAAUAUCACAAAUACAAAAAUAAUUUCUCAUAUAACUCUUACUAGCAUUACACAUAUUCAAAACAUAUGUGUAUAAUUCAUGUAACAUUAUCCACACUUUCAAGAAAUUGGCAAACCAUAACUGAAUCACAUAUGUACUUACAAUUCAUACUUUUAGCUCAACUCAAUAAUUUUAUAUAUACAUUUAUAUUCAUUCGAAUCACAUUCAUCCAAAAAAUUUAUAGUUCAUACCUUAAAUUCAUUUGAAGAAAUUAUACAUACACGUACAACUAUGUUUAGCUUCAUACAUGUUCAUGUAUAUAUUUCACAGCUUUAAUUUAACUCAAAAACUAUAGUUGCAUAUAUAUAUAAUCGAAACUCACAUAUACAAUAUAACAUACAUACAUUAAAUAAAUUCCAAAAAUUAUACAAGUAUAUACAUAUAUAUAUUGAGACUUCAAAUAUAUAUUUACAACUCCCAUACUUCAAAUAAAAUCAGGAACCUAUAUAUAUGUGUACAUAUAUAUUCGAACAAUAUAUAUAUUCAUACAUAUUUCUUUCAUACUUUAAUUAAAUUCAACUUAUAUUUUUUUAUCACAGCUCAUUAAGAAUAUAAAUCAUAUACAUGUAUAUAUGAUGAUUUAAAAACAUUAAAUUGCUAAUAGACUUACCUCGGACGAUGAAAAAUCGAAGUCGGACGAUUAUUCGACUACUUUGACUUUUC
rnacentral:lncRNA from 1 species